rnacentral:rRNA from 1 species
AGUCUGGUGCCAGCAGCCGCGGUAAUUCCAGCUCCAAUAGCGUAUAUUAAACUUGUUGCAGUUAAAAAGCUCGUAGUUGAAUUUUUGCGUGGUGUUAAUAUUGACUAAUGUCGAGAUUGCACUUCGCUUUUGGGAUUUAUCCCUUUUUACUUUGAGAAAAUUAGAGUGUUUCAAGCAGACUUUUGUCUUGAAUACUUCAGCAUGGAAUAAUAGAGUAGGACUUUGGUUCUAUUUUGUUGGUUUGUGAACCUUAGUAAUGGUUAAUAGGAACGGUUGGGGGCAUUCGUAUUUAACUGUCAGAGGUGAAAUUCUUAGAUUUGUUAAAGACGAACUACUGCGAAAGCAUUUGCCAAGGACGUUUUCAUUAAUCAAGAACGAAAGUUAGGGGAUCGAAGACGAUCAGAUACCGU